UAGGGAAUCUUGCGCAAUGGGCGAAAGCCUGACGCAGCCAUGCCGCGUGAAUGAUGAAGGUCUUAGGAUUGUAAAAUUCUUUCACCGGGGACGAUAAUGACGGUACCCGGAGAAGAAGCCCCGGCUAACUUCGUGCCAGCAGCCGCGGUAAUACGAAGGGGGCUAGCGUUGCUCGGAAUUACUGGGCGUAAAGGGCGCGUAGGCGGAUAGUUUAGUCAGAGGUGAAAGCCCAGGGCUCAACCUUGGAAAUGCCUUUGAUACUGGCUAUCUUGAGUACGGGAGAGGUGUGUGGAACUCCGAGUGUAGAGGUGAAAUUCGUAGAUAUUCGGAAGAACACCGGUGGCGAAGGCGACACACUGGCCCGUUACUGACGCUGAGGCGCGAAAGCGUGGGGAGCAAACAGG
rnacentral:rRNA from 1 species